GACGAACGCUGGCGGCGUGCUUAACACAUGCAAGUCGAACGGAAAGGCCCUGCUUUUGUGGGGUGCUCGAGUGGCGAACGGGUGAGUAACACGUGAGUAACCUGCCCUGGACUGUGGGAUAACUUCAGGAAACGGGGGCUAAUACCGGAUAGGAGCUCCUGCUGCAUGGCGGUGGUUGGAAAGUUUCGGUGGUAGGGGAUGGAGUUGCGGCUUAUCAGCUUGUUGGUGGGGUAGUGGCUUAGCAAGGCCUUGACGGUUAGCCGGCCUGAGAGGGUGACCGGCCCCAUUGGGACUGGGGUAGCGCCCAGAGUGCUACGUGGGGAAGGGGUGGGAGUUAGUCCACGAUACGCGGAGGCCUUGAGCAAGGUCGCCGCGUGCGGGAGGACUGCUUUCAGGUAAUAACCAGCUUGAGCCUGUAACGAAGCGUGAGUGACGGUAAUGGAUAAGGAAGCACCGGCUAACUACGUG
rnacentral:rRNA from 1 species